UACGUAGGGGGCGAGCGUUGUCCGAAGUUACUGGGCGUAAAGCGCGCGUAGGCGGCUCUUUAAGUCUGGCGUGAAAGGUUCAGGCUCAACCCGAACAGUGCGCUGGAGACUGGAGAGCUUGAGGACGGGAGAGGGAAGCGGAAUUCCGGGUGUAGCGGUGAAAUGCGUAGAUAUCCGGAGGAACACCGAUGGCGAAGGCAGCUUCCUGGCCCGUAUCUGACGCUGAGGUGCGAAAGCGUGGGGAGCGAACGGG
rnacentral:rRNA from 1 species